GGGGAUUUAGCUCAGCGGCAUAAGCACCUGCCUUGCAAGCAGGCGGUCGUGAGUUCCACUCCCCG
rfam:Cavia porcellus supercont2_105 genomic scaffold, whole genome shotgun sequence.